rnacentral:rRNA from 1 species
AUACAGAGGGUGCAAGCGUUAAUCGGAAUUACUGGGCGUAAAGCGCGCGUAGGCGGUUUGUUAAGUCGGAUGUGAAAUCCCCGGGCUCAACCUGGGAACUGCAUUCGAAACUGGCAUGCUAGAGUAUGGUAGAGGGAAGUGGAAUUCCGGGUGUAGCGGUGAAAUGCGUAGAUAUUAGGAGGAACAUCAGUGGCGAAGGCGACUUACUGGACCAAUACUGACACUGAGGCGCGAAGGCGUGGGGAGCAAACAGGAUUAGAAACCCCAGUAGUCC